ACUCUGAGUAGGUAACAGGUACCAGCUACUGUCAGCAGGGAGGAAGGUAUGUGGUGACCACGAGUCCAGACCUGAGGGUCCUGACCCUCUAAUGCGGCCUCUCACCAGUGUUCGCAGAAACCCACCCGCUGAUUCAAUACGGGGACCAGGAACCUGCCAUGACAGUCACGGCUUCCCUCUUGUCUGGAGGAAAAAGAAAAAAGAGAACCAGACUUAGACACAACUUCUUGUGGGCACAUAUUCAGAAGGCAUCUCACUGGAGAGGGUUUAGUUCUCCUUAGCAGAAGAUAAGAUUUCAAGAUUUCAGCUAAGACUCAUCUCUCUGCAAAUCUUUCUUUUGAGAGCAUCUUCACCAGGAGGAGAUUCCAUCUCAAGAGACCACUUUCACUGCUCAUAUGUAAGAAGCAACUCUUCAUCUGUUCAAGUUUGAUCAUGAGAGUGCGGCAAUUCAGUCACAACUUCAGGCUCCACUUCUAGUUCUAGUUCUCUUGCUGUUUCCACCACAUCUACAGCGACUUCCUCCACUGAAGACGUGAACCCCUGAAAGUCAUCUAUGGGGGUUGGAAUCAAUGUCUUUCACACUCCUGUUAAUGUUGGUAUUUUGACCUCCUCCCAUGAAUUACAAAUGUUCCUAAUGGCAUCUAGAAUAAUGACUACUUUCCAGAAGCUUUUCAAUUUGCUUUGCUCAGAUCCAUCAAUGGAAUCACUAUCAAUGGUAGCUAUAUAAACUAUAUAAGGCUAUAUAUAUAUAUAUAGCUAUUUCUUAAUAGCCUUAUGAAAUAUAUUUCUUAAUAAGACUUGAAAGUCUUGGUCCAUGGACUGCAGAAUGGAUGUUUGUGUUAGCAGGGAUGAAAACAACAUGAAUAUUCUCGUACAUCUCCAACACAGCUCUUGAUCGACAUGGUGCAGAGCAGUAAUAUUUUGAAAGGAAUCUUUUUUUCUGAGCAAUAGUUCUCAAUAGUGGGCUUGAAAUAUUCAGUAAACCAUGCUGUAAACAGAUGUGUUGUCAUCCAGGCUUUAUUGUUCCAUUUAUGGAGCACAGAUAGAGUAGAUUUCGCAUAAUUCUUAAUGACACCAGGAUUUACAAAAUAGUAAAUGAACAUUUACUUCAACUUAAAGUCAUCAGCUGCAUUCACCUCUAAAAAGAGAGUCAGCCUGUCCUGUGGAGCUUUGCAGCUUGCCUUGACAUCUCCUCUCUAGCUGUGAAAGUCCUGGAUGGCAUCUUCUUCCAACAUAAGACUGUUUUGUCUACACUGAAAAUCUGUUGUUUCGUGUAGACACUUUCAUCAAUUAUCUUAUCUAGAUUUUCUGGAUAACUUGCCACAGCUUCUCCCUUUGCACUUGCUGCUUCAUCUUGCAUUUUUAUGUUAUGGAGAUGUUGUCUUUCAUUAAACCUCACAAACCAA
rnacentral:lncRNA from 1 species